GAUGAACGCUAGCGGCAGGCUUAACACAUGCAAGUCGAGGGGUAUUUAUCUUCGGAUAGAGAGACCGGCGCACGGGUGCGUAACGCGUAUGCAAUCUACCUUUUACAGAGGGAUAGCCCAGAGAAAUUUGGAUUAAUACCUCAUAGUAUAUAGACUCGGCAUCGAGAUUAUAUUAAAGUCACAACGGUAAAAGAUGAGCAUGCGUCCCAUUAGCUAGUUGGUAAGGUAACGGCUUACCAAGGCUACGAUGGGUAGGGGUCCUGAGAGGGAGAUCCCCCACACUGGUACUGAGACACGGACCAGACUCCUACGGGAGGAAGCAGUGAGGAAUAUUGGACAAUGGGCGCAAGCCUGAUCCAGCCAUGCCGCGUGCAGGAUGACGGUCCUAUGGAUUGUAAACUGCUUUUAUACGAGAAGAAACACUGCUACGUGUAGCAGCUUGACGGUAUCGUAAGAAUAAGGAUCGGCUAACUCCGUG
rnacentral:rRNA from 1 species